rnacentral:rRNA from 1 species
GGUUAAGCGACUAAGCGUACACGGUGGAUGCCCUGGCAGUCAGAGGCGAUGAAGGACGUGCUAAUCUGCGAAAAGCGCCGGCGAGGUGAUAUGAACCCUUGACCCGGCGAUGUCCGAAUGGGGAAACCCAGUGUGUUCCGACACACUAUCGUUAACUGAAUACAUAGGUUAACGAGGCGAACCGGGGGAACUGAAACAUCUAAGUACCCCGAGGAAAAGAAAUCAACCGAGAUUCCCCCAGUAGCGGCGAGCGAACGGGGAGCAGCCCGGAGUCUGAAUCAGCUUGUGUGUUAGUGGAACGGUCUGGAAAGUCCGACGGUACAGGGUGAUAGUCCCGUACACGAAAAUGCACAGGUUGUGAACUCGAAGAGUAGGGCGGGACACGUGGUAUCCUGUCUGAAUAUGGGGGGACCAUCCUCCAAGGCUAAAUACUCCUGACUGACCGAUAGUGAACCAGUACCGUGAGGGAAAGGCGAAAAGAACCCCGGCGAGGGGAGUGAAAAAGAACCUGAAACCGUGUACGUACAAGCAGUGGGAGCACCUUCGGGUGUGACUGCGUACCUUUUGUAUAAUGGGUCAGCGACUUAUAUUCUGUAGCAAGGUUAACCGUAUAGGGGAGCCGAAGGGAAACCGAGUCUUAACUGGGCGUUAAGUUGCAGGGUAUAGACCCGAAACCCGGUGAUCUAGCCAUGGGCAGGUUGAAGGUUGGGUAACACUAACUGGAGGACCGAACCGACUAAUGUUGAAAAAUUAGCGGAUGACCUGUGGCUGGGGGUGAAAGGCCAAUCAAACCGGGAGAUAGCUGGUUCUCCCCGAAAGCUAUUUAGGUAGCGCCUCGUGAACUCAUCUUCGGGGGUAGAGCACUGUUUCGGCUAGGGGGCCAUCCCGGCUUACCAACCCGAUGCAAACUACGAAUACCGAAGAAUGUUAUCACGGGAGACACACGGCGGGUGCUAACGUCCGUCGUGAAGAGGGAAACAACCCAGACCGCCAGCUAAGGUCCCAAAGUCAUGGUUAAGUGGGAAACGAUGUGGGAAGGCACAGACAGCCAGGAUGUUGGCUUAGAAGCAGCCAUCAUUUAAAGAAAGCGUAAUAGCUCACUGGUCGAGUCGGCCUGCGCGGAAGAUGUAACGGGGCUAAACCAUGCACCGAAGCUGCGGCAGCGACACUAUGUGUUGUUGGGUAGGGGAGCGUUCUGUAAGCCGUUGAAGGUGUGCUGUGAGGCAUGCUGGAGGUAUCAGAAGUGCGAAUGCUGACAUAAGUAACGAUAAAGCGGGUGAAAAGCCCGCUCGCCGGAAGACCAAGGGUUCCUGUCCAACGUUAAUCGGGGCAGGGUGAGUCGACCCCUAAGGCGAGGCCGAAAGGCGUAGUCGAUGGGAAACAGGUUAAUAUUCCUGUACUUGGUGUUACUGCGAAGGGGGGACGGAGAAGGCUAUGUCAGCCGGGCGACGGUUGUCCCGGUUUAAGCAUGUAGGCGGAGGUUCCAGGUAAAUCCGGUACCUUGUUAACGCUGAGGUGUGAUGACGAGGCACUACGGUGCUGAAGUGAUAAAUGCCCUGCUUCCAGGAAAAGCCUCUAAGCAUCAGGUAACACGAAAUCGUACCCCAAACCGACACAGGUGGUCAGGUAGAGAAUACCAAGGCGCUUGAGAGAACUCGGGUGAAGGAACUAGGCAAAAUGGUGCCGUAACUUCGGGAGAAGGCACGCUGAUAGGUAGGUGAAGCCCCUGCGGGCGGAGCUGAAAUCAGUCGAAGAUACCAGCUGGCUGCAACUGUUUAUUAAAAACACAGCACUGUGCAAACACGAAAGUGGACGUAUACGGUGUGACGCCUGCCCGGUGCCGGAAGGUUAAUUGAUGGGGUUAGCGGCAACGCGAAGCUCUUGAUCGAAGCCCCGGUAAACGGCGGCCGUAACUAUAACGGUCCUAAGGUAGCGAAAUUCCUUGUCGGGUAAGUUCCGACCUGCACGAAUGGCGUAAUGAUGGCCAGGCUGUCUCCACCCGAGACUCAGUGAAAUUGAACUCGCUGUGAAGAUGCAGUGUACCCGCGGCAAGACGGAAAGACCCCGUGAACCUUUACUAUAGCUUGACACUGAACACUGGUCCUUGAUGUGUAGGAUAGGUGGGAGGCUUUGAAGCGUGGACGCCAGUCUGCGUGGAGCCAUCCUUGAAAUACCACCCUUUAAUGGCUGGUGUUCUAACGUAGACCCGUGAUCCGGGUUGCGGACAGUGUCUGGUGGGUAGUUUGACUGGGGCGGUCUCCUCCCAAAGAGUAACGGAGGAGCACGAAGGUUGGCUAAUCCUGGUCGGACAUCAGGAGGUUAGUGCAAUGGCAUAAGCCAGCUUGACUGCGAGCGUGACGGCGCGAGCAGGUGCGAAAGCAGGUCAUAGUGAUCCGGUGGUUCUGAAUGGAAGGGCCAUCGCUCAACGGAUAAAAGGUACUCCGGGGAUAACAGGCUGAUACCGCCCAAGAGUUCAUAUCGACGGCGGUGUUUGGCACCUCGAUGUCGGCUCAUCACAUCCUGGGGCUGAAGUAGGUCCCAAGGGUAUGGCUGUUCGCCAUUUAAAGUGGUACGCGAGCUGGGUUUAGAACGUCGUGAGACAGUUCGGUCCCUAUCUGCCGUGGGCGCUGGAGAAUUGAGGGGGGCUGCUCCUAGUACGAGAGGACCGGAGUGGACGCAUCACUGGUGUUCGGGUUGUCAUGCCAAUGGCACUGCCCGGUAGCUAAAUGCGGAAGAGAUAAGUGCUGAAAGCAUCUAAGCACGAAACUUGCCCCGAGAUGAGUUCUCCCUGAGACUUUAAGUCUCCUGAAGGAACGUUGAAGACGACGACGUUGAUAGGUCGGGUGUGUAAGCGCAGCGAUGCGUUGAGCUAACCGAUACUAAUGAACCGUGAGGCUUAACCUU